UGUACCGUGGUGUACGGAACACUCGCCGGAACUCUAGGCUGGGACGAAGCGUUACGGCGAGCCGGGGUUCGACUCCCCGCGGUGCAC